rnacentral:lncRNA from 1 species
CAGGGCUCUUGGUGCUGAAUAGAUGGUGGAUUUUUGGCUUUUUUGUCUGUCCCAAAUCUUUAGAAGCCUGUUGUCUGUGGUGACAGUGAUUUCAGAUUGGCUAAGUUUGACAAGCAAUGAGCAACAAUACAUCUGUUGUUAGAGGUGUUGGUUAUUCCACGUGCCAGGAAGACAGAGAGAACGUCUCAACCAAAUUGUCAAGGCAAGAGUCUUUCAGGAAAAGGAUAUGGCUAAGAAUUCUAAAAGGGGUGGGGGUUGGUUUAACAAGAAGGAGCAGGGAAAGGUGUCUACCUUGAAUCUCCAAUCUGAAAGGUUGGUAUAGGCAUAAGAUGUCAAGAAAAUUAGCAGAAAACAUCGUGUUGAGCCCUCAAGAUUUGCUUGGAGCGGAGGAGACCACACUCCUGCAGCUGGGUGGUCAGAAACUCAGUCAUUUGCCCUGCAGAAUUUUCUACACUGUGGAUUUGCCUGACUACACCCUGUGGUGCUGUUCCUCUAUCUUGUUCUGGGAUUUCAAUGGAUUGAAUGAGACCCAGCCACGCCGGAGAGGGCAAUCUGCGUUACUCACUUUACCAACUUGGAUGUGAAUCUCACGGAGAGGCUCCCCCACAGACAUACCCAGAAUACUAUUUGACCAAAUGUCUGGAUAUCCUGUGGCUCAGUCAAGUUGUUACAUAAAAUUAACCAUCCCUACUGGUAUGCACAGAAACAUUAGUUGGAGCACGGCAGUUUGUGUUCAUUCACAGCACCCUGGGUACAUAAAUAAAUCCACAGCCAAGCAAAGGAUUGCGCCGAGGCUGUAGCAAAGCAAGCAGGAGGGCGCGGCCCAGGAGAUGUGAGCUCCCAUACUGCUCGCAGCACUGGGACCCAGCAUCCCCCUCAGCAAUAGCCCAGAAUACACAGGGCAUCAAGAGCCCUGCCCUGCAAAGGGAGGGCAAACCUCCCAUUCCUGGUGCUUUAAGUGGACCCAAUCCCUGGCUGGAACUUGAAGGCAGGCCACAGAAACAGACUAUUUCCGCCCUUUACUACUCGUACUUGUCUCAGCCCAUCUGCUCACACCUUAUCCUUCGGGUUCCUAACCCCACUAUCUGUACCCAGGUCUUAUAUUAGCAUUUUCCCCCUGGCCACUCAACUUAAUGCAUGUUUAGAUUCACUUUUGGGGCUUCAUGAAGUUCCGACUUUCUUUGGGCACUGGACACUGCAUCGUGGAAUCCCUACAUUCUUUGCAAAAACUUCCUUACUCCAACCCACGUCGCAAGGACCUCCCACUCAUGACUAUGCAGAGUUGGGGAUUUGGCCUAACCCAGCAGGCUGGCUUCUCCUGCAGAUGCGCCAGGCAUCCCGUCACAUAAUCAGCAUGCCUGCUUCUGGAGAGGGACCACUCAUUGUGUUGGGCUCCCUUGCGAGCUCAGCACUGAGAUGGUCCUAGGAGUUUCUAUCCCCACAUUGCACCUGGAAAUCUCAUGGUCCUUGACAGCCACAGGUUUCCAGUGGCAGCUCAUGAGGCCUCCAGAUAGGUGGCAGGGACCGAAAUACUUCACAGCUUUUCCACGGACAAAGAUCAGCAAUUUGUUUUUAAAAUAAAAAGUCAAUGUUAAAGUGAAGUUGGCAUCAGGUAAUUGAGAUGCUAUCAGGAUCCUGAGUGGGGACUGAACACAUGCAACCACACAGUGUAGUAUUUUUAGGCAAUUGCUCACUCAUUUGAGAAAACACAGUGGGUAAAACUGUUUCCCUUGUGGUGACUGUUGGACUUCCUGCAUUUUCAGAGGUUUUCUGUAUUUUCAUAGGAGUCCCAUUUCCUUUUAAGAACCAGAUUGCCAAUGCCCCAUUAGUUAGCUUUCCACUCCAACAGGCCGCUUGCUCUUUUGCCUUUCCCUCCCCUUCUCUUUUAAACCAAUUAAUUAAAAAGCUUUACAAAAACAAUACAUGCUAACGUGAAAAAUUAAAGCAGUAUAGAAAACUACAACACAAAAAGGAAAAGCUCCUCUGCCCUCAGCUCCUACACUCCUCAGAGGUGGCCAUCAUGAACAUUGGCUUCUUUCUAGAACUUUUCCUGCAUAGACAAUCAGAGAAACAUAGAUUGAUAGACUGAUUUAUGCAAAGAUGGCUGAAUAAUGAUGUUUAAUGCUCUGUUACUUGCUUUUUCCUACUUAAUUUAUGCUAGACAUGAUUUCACAGCAGUUGUCAAGGAGGUCUAUCACCCUUUUCAACAUUUGCAUUUUUUCAAUUAUAAAUAAAAAAUUAAUUAAUUAAGAAACACUUGCAUUUGGUUCUACUGUAGAAGUGUACCAUCAUUUGUUUAACCAAUAUUCCACAGAUUGACUUGUAGAUUACUUCAGAGGUCUUAAUAUUAAAUGUUCCAGUAAAUAUCCUCAGGCAUGUGUUUUUGAAGAACAGGGCUAGUGUAUCAACAGGAGAUUGUUUUAUAGGUCUUUAUAAAAUUAAACUGUUUUCACUGGUAUAAAAAUUUAAUAAUUGUCAAA